rnacentral:rRNA from 1 species
UGGGGAAUUUUGGACAAUGGGCGAAANCCUGAUCCAGCAAUGCCGCGUGUGUGAAGAAGGCCUUCGGGUUGUAAAGCACUUUUGUCCGGAAAGAAAUCCUUGGCUCUAAUACAGUCGGGGGAUGACGGUACCGGAAGAAUAAGCACCGGCUAACUACGUGCCAGCAGCCGCGGUAAUACGUAGGGUGCAAGCGUUAAUCGGAAUUACUGGGCGUAAAGCGUGCGCAGGCGGUUUGCUAAGACCGAUGUGAAAUCCCCGGGCUCAACCUGGGAACUGCAUUGGUGACUGGCAGGCUAGAGUAUGGCAGAGGGGGGUAGAAUUCCACGUGUAGCAGUGAAAUGCGUAGAGAUGUGGAGGAAUACCGAUGGCGAAGGCAGCCCCCUGGGCCAAUACUGACGCUCAUGCACGAAAGCGUGGGGAGCAAACAGGAUUAGAUACCCCUGGUAGUCCACGCCCUAAACGAUGUCAACUAGUUGUUGGGGAUUCAUUUCCUUAGUAACGUAGCUAACGCGUGAAGUUGACCGCUGGGGAGUACGGUCGCAAGAUUAAAACUUAAAGGAAUUGACGGGGUCAU